rnacentral:rRNA from 1 species
AUGCCGCUCUUCGGCUGGCUCAUGCUUCGGGGCAGGAUCCUAACCAACGACAACCUCUCUCUCAGCAACAUUCAGUACAACGUUGACAUGUGCAGCCUGUGUGACCAGGAGGAGACGCCGCUGCACCUCAUCCUCAAGUGUUCAUAUGCUAAGCAGGUGCUAAAGAUCGGGCGGACAGUCAACCCGUACAUCCAUCUCUACGUUCCGUUCCUCCAUACACCCAUUGCCACGGUCCGGCGGUGGUGGCUCAGGUUGCGGGACACGGAGGACGAGAUCAGGAUUGGACUUACGAGGUCUGUGGUGCAAAGAAGAAAAACUUAUAUCUACUAUGUAAGCGUGCACGUGCAACGCACGUCUUUCCCGAUGAUUAUAAACUCUUGCGCUCGAAAGUCAAGUUGA